rnacentral:rRNA from 1 species
AUCGAACGCUGGCGGCAGGCCUAACACAUGCAAGUCGAGCGAGCGGCGGACGGGUGAGUAAUGUAUGGGGAUCUGCCCGAUAGAGGGGGAUAACUACUGGAAACGGUGGCUAAUACCGCAUACUAUCGGAUGUACCCAUAUGGGAUUAGCUAGUAGGGGGGGUAAAGGCUCACCUAGGCGACGAUCCCUAGCUGGUCUGAGAGGAUGAUCAGACACACGGGGACUGAGACACGGCCCAGACUCCUACGGGAGGCAGCAGUGGGGAAUAUUGCACAAUGGGCGCAAGCCUGAUGCAGCCAUGCCGCGUGUAUGAAGAAGGCCUUAGGGUUGUAAAGUACUGUCAGCGGGGAGGCGUUACCCGCAGAAGAAGCACCGGCUAACUCCGUGCCAGCCGCCGCGGUAAUUC